rnacentral:rRNA from 1 species
CCUACGGGUGGCUGCAGUGGGGAAUUUUGGACAAUGGGCGCAAGCCUGAUCCAGCCAUUCCGCGUGAGUGAAGAAGGCCUUCGGGUUGUAAAGCUCUUUCGCAAGGGAAGAAAACUUACAUUCUAAUAAAGUGUGAGGCUGACGGUACCUUGAUAAGAAGCACCGGCUAACUACGUGCCAGCAGCCGCGGUAAUACGUAGGGUGCGAGCGUUGAUCGGAGUUACUGGGCGUAAUUCGUUCGCAGGCGGGUGAAAUCCCCGAGCUCAACUUGGGAACUGCGGUUGAAACUACAAGACUAGAAUAUGUCAGAGGGGGGUAGAAUUCCACGUGUAGCAGUGAAAUGCGUAGAGAUGUGGAGGAAUACCAAUGGCGAAGGCAGCCCCCUGGGAUAAUAUUGACGCUCAUGCACGAAAGCGUGGGGAGCAAACAGGAUUAGAUACCCCUGUAGUC